GUUCGUACGUGCAUGACUUAAAAUGGACGCCGAUAUCAGAGAAAUUAUCCAAGCCGAAGUACAAAGUGCCAUACUAGGAACUCAAGAUAAACUGUUAAACAGCUUUACUUCACUGCUCGACACACGUUUAAAUGGUUUCCAGCAAAACAUCCAGGAUAACCAGAAGGCAUUGUCCGACUCACAGUUGGCCAAAAUCGACGAGACCAUGACAGAGACCUUCAAGUUCCGUAAAAGGGGAAAUGAAGAACAGUAUAAGCACAACAAGAAGGUUUUCGUGAAGGUUCUCGAAGCUAGCAGCCAGUUAGAAUCAGAAAAUUUGAACAAUGACAACAUUCA
rnacentral:lncRNA from 1 species